rnacentral:snRNA from 1 species
GUGCUAACUUCUUCAGCACAUAUCCAUCCUGAAAUUAUAACAAUACAGUAAAGACCAGAGUGGCCCCAGCUCAAAGACGAUCUGAAAAUUUGUGAAGCAUUCCAAAGUUUA